CAAUUCAAGAUGACUAGUUAGGAGCACUCAUAUCUCAGCACUCAGCUUGCUCCCCUCUACUGCAUCUGGAGGUCAUCUCAACAAUCAUGAAUUCCAAAAAUAAAAUUGGGAGUUCUUUGUGCUUGCCAGUUUUAAAUGUGGGAGUUUCACAUUUUCAGGUUCUUUCCCUGCAACUUUGAAGAGGCUUGAAACAGACUCCUUAGGAAGAAAACGCUCCGUGCCUCCUUCCCCACCCCUGCCUGAACAGUGGAGACCGCCGCUUGAUCUGCUGAGUCCAAAGCAUCAGCUAGUCUGAGGUGUGAGAAAAUUAUGUAAAGUACCUCUCCUGGUGGAUGUCCAACAAAAGGAAAUAGCCCUGUUUUACUCAGAGAAUGUGGAAAGGUCUGAGACACAGUUUUAAAAAUCUCUUGAUGGAACGUACAUGCCUCUCCCUAAAGUGCUUCUUGUGCUGCACCUUCUUUGGAAACAACAUAGAGUGAAGAACUUAAGGACAGAUGGAAAGCAUCUGGAAGUAAAAUUUUAGCUAUAUGAAGGAAUUCUUUAUUGGAAGAAAGCUGGAGAAAGCCCAUACCUUCUGCAGUAUUUUCCCCAGCUACUCUCUUGCCACACUAAUUUCUACCUGUAAUGGAUAUCUCAGAUGUGAUGCAGAGCAGAAACAAACUGAUCCUGAGGCCAAACAUGUGGUAUGGAUUGUGGUUACAAAGAUCAGUGAUGAAGCCAGCACCCUCCAAUUACUCCAGUGG